rnacentral:rRNA from 1 species
GACGAACGCUGGCGGCGUGCUUAACACAUGCAAGUCGAACGGAAAGGCCCUGCUUUUGUGGGGUGCUCGAGUGGCGAACGGGUGAGUAACACGUGAGUAACCUGCCCUUGACUUUGGGAUAACUUCAGGAAACUGGGGCUAAUACCGGAUAGGAGCUCCUGCUGCAUGGUGGGGGUUGGAAAGUUUCGGCGGUUGGGGAUGGACUCGCGGCUUAUCAGCUUGUUGGUGGGGUAGUGGCUUACCAAGGCUUUGACGGGUAGCCGGCCUGGGAGGGUGACCGGCGACCUUGGGACUGCGAUACGGACCAGACUCCUACGGGAGGCAGUGGUGGGAAACAUGGUACAAUGGGCGGAAGCCUGUUGCAGCAACGCCGCGUGCGGGAUGACGGCCUUCGGGUUGUAAACCGCUUUCGCCUGUGACGAAGCGUGAGUGACGGUAAUGGGUAAAGAAGCACCGGCUAACUACGUG